rnacentral:tRNA from 1 species
AGGUAUAGCUCAGCUGGUCAGAGCGCUUGCUUGACAUGCAAGAGGUCACUGGUUCAAAUCCAGUUAUCUUC